GACGAACGCUGGCGGCGUGCUUAACACAUGCAAGUCGAACGAAGAGCGAUGGAAGCUUGCUUCUAUCAAUCUUAGUGGCGCACGGGUGAGUAACGCGUAAUCAACCUGCCCUUCAGAGGGGGACAACAGUUGGAAACGACUGCUAAUACCGCAUACGAUCUAAUCUCGGCAUCGAGGAUAGAUGAAAGGUGGCCUCUACAUGUAAGCUAUCACUGGAGGAGGGGAUUGCGUCUGAUUAGCUAGUUGGAGGGGUAACGGCCCACCAAGGCGAUGAUCAGUAGCCGGUCUGAGAGGAUGAACGGCCACAUUGGGACUGAGACACGGCCCAGACUCCUACGGGAGGCAGCAGUGGGGAAUCUUCCGCAAUGGACGAAAGUCUGACGGAGCAACGCCGCGUGAGUGAUGACGGCCUUCGGGUUGUAAAGCUCUGUUAAUCGGGACGAAAGGCCUUCUUGCGAAUAGUGAGAAGGAUUGACGGUACCGGAAUAGAAAGCCACGGCUAACUACGUG
rnacentral:rRNA from 1 species